rnacentral:rRNA from 1 species
GAUAACUACUGGAAACGGUGGCUAAUACCGCAUAACGUCGCAAGACCAAAGAGGGGGACCUUCGGGCCUCUUGCCAUCAGAUGUGCCCAGAUGGGAUUAGCUUGUUGGUGAGGUAACGGCUCACCAAGGCGACGAUCCCUAGCUGGUCUGAGAGGAUGACCAGCCACACUGGAACUGAGACACGGUCCAGACUCCUACGGGAGGCAGCAGUGGGGAAUAUUGCACAAUGGGCGCAAGCCUGAUGCAGCCAUGCCGCGUGUAUGAAGAAGGCCUUCGGGUUGUAAAGUACUUUCAGCGGGGAGGAAGGUGUUGCGGUUAAUAACCGCAGCAAUUGACGUUACCCGCAGAAGAAGCACCGGCUAACUCCGUGCCAGCAGCCGCGGUAAUACGGAGGGUGCAAGCGUUAAUCGGAAUUACUGGGCGUAAAGCGCACGCAGGCGGUCUGUCAAGUCGGAUGUGAAAUCCCCGGGCUCAACCUGGGAACUGCAUUCGAAACUGGCAGGCUUGAGUCUUGUAGAGGGGGGUGGAAUUCCAGGUGUAGCGGUGAAAUGCGUAGAGAUCUGGAGGAAUACCGGUGGCGAAGGCGGCCCCCUGGACAAAGACUGACGCUCAGGUGCGAAAGCGUGGGGAGCAAACAGGAUUAGAUACCCUGGUAGUCCACGCCGUAAACGAUGUCUACUUGGAGGUUGUGCCCUUGAGGCGUGGCUUCCGGAGCUAACGCGUUAAGUAGACCGCCUGGGGAGUACGGCCGCAAGGUUAAAACUCAAAUGAAUUGACGGGGGCCCGCACAAGCGGUGGAGCAUGUGGUUUAAUUCGAUGCAACGCGAAGAACCUUACCUGGUCUUGACAUCCACGGAAGUUUUCAGAGAUGAGAAUGUGCCUUCGGGAACCGUGAGACAGGUGCUGCAUGGCUGUCGUCAGCUCGUGUUGUGAAAUGUUGGGUUAAGUCCCGCAACGAGCGCAACCCUUAUCCUUUGUUGCCAGCGGUUCGGCCGGGAACUCAAAGGAGACUGCCAGUGAUAAACUGGAGGAAGGUGGGGAUGACGUCAAGUCAUCAUGGCCCUUACGACCAGGGCUACACACGUGCUACAAUGGCGCAUACAAAGAGAAGCGACCUCGCGAGAGCAAGCGGACCUCAUAAAGUGCGUCGUAGUCCGGAUUGGAGUCUGCAACUCGACUCCAUGAAGUCGGAAUCGCUAGUAAUCGUGGAUCAGAAUGCCACGGUGAAUACGUUCCCGGGCCUUGUACACACCGCCCGUCACACCAUGGGAGUGGGUUGCAAAAGAAGUAGGUAGCUUAACCUUCGGGAGGGCGCUUACCACUUUGUGAUUCAUGACUGGGGUGAAGUCGUAACAAGGUAACCGUAGGGGAACC